rnacentral:rRNA from 1 species
AUUGAACGCUGGCGGCAGGCCUAACACAUGCAAGUCGAACGAGUGGCGGACGGGUGAGUAAUGUCUGGGAAUCUGCCCUAUGGAGGGGGAUAACUACUGGAAACUGUAGCUAAUACCGCAUACCCUCGGAUGUGCCCAGAUGGGAUUAGCGAGUAGGUGGGUUAACGGCUCACCUAGGCGACGAUCCCUAGCGGGUCUGAGAGGAUGACCAGCCAAACUGGAACUGAGACACGGCCCAGACUCCAACGGGAGGCAGCAGUGGGGAAUAUUGCACAAUGGGGGCAAGCCUGAUGCAGCCAUGCCGCGUGUAUGAAGAAGGCCUUAGGGUUGUAAAGUACUUGCAGUGGGGAGGCGUUACUCACAGAAGAAGCACCGGCUAACUCCGUGCCAGCAGCCGCGGUAAUAC